GCCUGAAUAAGGCAAACCACUCGAAAGGGUGGGACGCAAAGCCACUGGCCUAAGUUUUAGAUUUCUUACAAUAUGGUCGCAGGGCUGCCGGG
rnacentral:ncRNA from 1 species